UUUAUGUAAAUGUCUUGGAUGCAUUUAACACAAUUAACUCAUGUUUUAAAGUUAAACGUAACUCUAUAGUGUAGAAACUACAUAAUAUGCAAAGAGGGUACGUGAAUUUGUUCAGAUCAUGUUGGCAUGAAGUGAGUCAAUAAAGAAGCGAUGUAAUUCUCGUGAUACCGCACGUGAUCUCGUCUGGCGCGCUUUACAUUGUUGCCAGAAGAAGCAGGUAACGGUCACAGGGCUCGUCGUCCUGUACUCCACGCCACUAUUCGGUCGAUUGACAGACAAACUCAACUCUGCAUUUCACCUGGAGUCAGUUGAUGGAUCGUGGGCUCAAGUUUUUGUGGGCUAGAAGUUUAAUGAGGUUGUAACGUGAGUGUUCUCGGAUUGCAAAUUUCAAACAACCGCCCUUUUUGAUGCAACGGAGAUAAACGCAGAGUUUAAGAGCAUCCCAGCCAUGCCUCUACAAUCAAAGUGUUUGCAAAGCGGCCGGGGAGCAGGGAAAAAAGCUGAAAGUCAUAGCUGCCAUGAUGAUAGAUGACAUUGAUGCCAGAAGGGAGUCCCACAUUAAAGGACUGCAUCUAUCUGAAUGAGAAUCCCGACGUCUUGGAGCGGGAGUACACGGACAUGACUGAGGCCACUGCGCUGAGUGCCAUCAUGAAAACGACAGUGGGAAUUUACGUCACCAAACAGACGCCAGGCAAUGACUUUUCUGAUGUUGGCAUCAUCAUCGAGGGUGUGGUGGUUCUUCAAGAUUUGGACAGCAUGGCCCAUCAACAGCCUUGCUGUUUGGACUUUGUUACUCUUUGAAGAUGAGGUAUCCGUUACAGCUCCGCUACACUUUUGAAGGGAUUCAAAAGGUUUUAAUGGAGUUGGAUGUGACUUAACUCUCAAGGAAAGCCCAGAGCUUAAAGACAGACCUCCUCCAGUAAGGAGAGCUCACUGUUGUUGUGCACGUGAGGCCAAGUGUUCGUUCCUUUACGGCCAUGUGGACGGGCCAGUUAUUUUCCCCUCUACAAGACUCUGAUUGGCAGCAUUCUUCAGUCUUAGUUUCUAUCUGUCUUACAGGUGAAGGGAUUGAGAACUGUACACAGUCUGAAUACUGCCAUCAGGGCCGUGUGAAACCGGAUCUUUAGGUUAAUUAAGUUGCAGUAAAGAGUUUUAAUACUUCUAAGAAUACAACUCAGACUUGGCUCUUAUAGGGAACAUUUUUUCUUUGUGUGCAGCCCCUACCUGUGGGACCAGAGAUGGUUUAUGCUUAUGCAAGCCAAUGUAUGUACAGGAUGAAUUCAUGGCCGGACUGAAGGCAGCGUAACAUUUUUGAAAUAUUUACCUGUGUCUGUAAGUGACACUUAAACCUUGAAUGUCAGUUAAUGACCAGAUUCUUUGUGAGUGUUGGAAGUUUGGGCUCUUGAAUAAAGGUUUUGCAACUGCAAAUGCAACUGGUAAAAAUGGGUCAUUUUAAUGAUAAAGAGCGUUAAUAGAAAGGUAUUAGACAUUAAAAUAAAUGAUUGCUGGAAUGGUAACUCAUGUUUUUGCAUUUUAAAUCUGUUUUAUAGUUACAUUGAAGUGUUAAAUUACAAUUGUUACUUAAUUUAAUCUCGACAAUAGAGACCUUGAACAUUAUGUUUGUAUUGUUCUUCUCAAAGAUGGUUGUCAGAAACCUUUUUCAAAAGAAAAAUGUCCAGUUUCCAUUGUGACUGAGUUGGUAAAACACUGAAAAACUGACGUUACUUGUUCACUGUUGAAUUGUUUUAC